rnacentral:rRNA from 1 species
UACGUAGGGUGCAAGCGUUAAUCGGAAUUACUGGGCGUAAAGCGUGCGCAGGCGGUUAUGUAAGACAGAUGUGAAAUCCCCGGGCUCAACCUGGGAAUUGCAUUUGUGACUGCACGGCUAGAGUGUGUCAGAGGGGGGUAGAAUUCCACGUGUAGCAGUGAAAUGCGUAGAUAUGUGGAGGAAUACCGAUGGCGAAGGCAGCCCCCUGGGAUAACACUGACGCUCAUGCACGAAAGCGUGGGGAGCAAACAGG